rnacentral:rRNA from 1 species
GUACACUCCUACGGGAGGCAGCAGUGGGGAAUUUUGGACAAUGGGCGAAAGCCUGAUCCAGCCAUGCCGCGUGCAGGAUGAAGGCCUUCGGGUUGUAAACUGCUUUUGUACGGAACGAAACGGCCUUUUCUAAUAAAGAGGGCUAAUGACGGUACCGUAAGAAUAAGCACCGGCUAACUACGUGCCAGCAGCCGCGGUAAUACGUAGGGUGCAAGCGUUAAUCGGAAUUACUGGGCGUAAAGCGUGCGCAGGCGGUUAUGUAAGACAGUUGUGAAAUCCCCGGGCUCAACCUGGGAACUGCAUCUGUGACUGCAUAGCUAGAGUACGGUAGAGGGGGAUGGAAUUCCGCGUGUAGCAGUGAAAUGCGUAGAUAUGCGGAGGAACACCGAUGGCGAAGGCAAUCCCCUGGACCUGUACUGACGCUCAUGCACGAAAGCGUGGGGAGCAAACAGGAUUAGAUACCCCAGUAGUCCCAUG